rnacentral:rRNA from 1 species
AGCCUGAUCCAGCAUGCCGCGUGUGUGAAGAAGGCCUAUCGGGUUGUAAAGCACUUUUAUCAGGAACGAAAUACCACGGGUUAAUACCCUAUGGGGCUGACGGUACCUGAGGAAUAAGCACCGGCUAACUUCGUGCCAGCAGCCGCGGUAAUACGAAGGGUGCAAGCGUUAAUCGGAAUUACUGGGCGUAAAGGGUGCGUAGGCGGUUAGUUAAGUCUGUCGUGAAAUCCCCGGGCUCAACCUGGGAAUGGCGAUGGAUACUGGCUGGCUAGAGUGUGUCAGAGGAUGGUGGAAUUUCCGGUGUAGCGGUGAAAUGCGUAGAGAUCGGAAGGAACAUCAGUGGCGAAGGCGGCCAUCUGGGACAACACUGACGCUGAAGCACGAAAGCGUGGGGAGCAAACAGGAUUAGAUACCCUGGUAGUCCACGCCCUAAACGAUGCGAACUGGAUGUUGGUCUCAACUCGGAGAUCAGUGUCGAAGCUAACGCGUUAAGUUCGCCGCCUGGGGAGUACGGUCGCAAGACUGAAACUCAAAGGAAUUGACGGGGGCCCGCACAAGCGGUGGAGUAUGUGGUUUAAUUCGAUGCAACGCGAAGAACCUUACCUGGCCUUGACAUGUCCGGAAUCCUGCAG